CUUGGUUGACACUGCUUUUAUUGUGGAUAAAGGAGAGAUGGUCAGUAAUUAAUGGCUUGAAGUAUUAUUGGAGUGGUUUAUCAUUUCUGAAACUAAUCGUGUCAGAAUUGACUUUGAAAAGCAUUGCUUUUUACAGAAAUAUAUUAACUUUUUAGGAGUAAUUUCUAGUUUGGAUUGUAAUACGAAAUAAUUUAAAAGGGCUUCGCUCAUAUAUAGGAAAAUCGCAUAUGGUCCUAGUAUUAAAUUCUUAUUGCUUACUGAUUUUUUUGAGUUAAGAGUUGUUAUAUGCUAGAAUAUGAGGAUGUGAAUAUAAAUAAGAGAAGAAAAAAGAAUAAAGUAGAUUGAGUCUCCAAUUUUAUGUAAGCUUCAGAAGAACUGGUUUGUUUACAUGCAAGCUUAUAGUUGAAAUAUUUUUCAGGAAUUACAUGAAUGACAGUCUUCGAACCAAUGUGUUUGUUCGAUUUCAACCAGAGACUAUAGCAUGUGCUUGCAUCUACCUUGCAGCUAGAGCACUUCAGGUAGGUGUAUAUUUCCCAUUUUGUUCUGUAGGAUAAAUCACACAAAUUUUCGGUGGUUCCAAUACAGAUUUAGCAAAAAUUUAAUUUAAAACAUUCUGUUCUUAUGGUUUAGAUUCCGUUGCCAACUCGUCCCCAUUGGUUUCUUCUUUUUGGUACUACAGAAGAGGAAAUCCAGGAAAUCUGCAUAGAAACACUUAGGCUUUAUACCAGAAAAAAGCCAAACUAUGAAUUACUGGAAAAAGAAGUAGAAAAAA
rnacentral:sRNA from 1 species